UUGCCAGACAUUUCAAAUAAUACUACUACAGAUCUCAUUUUACCUGUUAUGGGCAAAAACACCAGUCUCAGUCAGAAUCAGGGUUCAAUGACAGGGUUUAUUGUACCAGGAAAUACCGAAGCUCCGGGGAGAGAAAGACACCAACAGCACAGUGGUCAGCUGCAAGUCUUCUCUCAACUCGAAGCACAUGUCAAGAAACUUUUUUAUAUCUUGUGAUGCAAUAGCUGAAGCCUGAAGGGGAGAGUGGAGCCUGUUUCUCCACCAGAGCAAAACUUUGGCCAGAAGAGAACAGGCCGAAGAUCAAAACUCUGGCUUCAAAUCCACACUAGAAAUAAGAAAAGCAGAGCACAAGCCAAAGAUUGUGUAGCAGUUGCAAGUGUUAUACACUUACAGUCCUUAAUUAAUGUGCUCCAAUGAAGAAGCAGGAAUAAAAUUCAUGUUUGUCAAAAUCUACUGAGGAAUCGUAUUCCUGUUUUCCAUACAUUUCACAUUUUGUCUGCAACCAUUUUGUUUAAUUUUUUUAUUAUUACUUAUGGUUGAGUUCAAAAUGAUAAAAAGAAAUUGCAUUUGUAAUCAUAACUGUAUGUUGAGUGUAUCUCUCCUGGACCUCUAAUGAGAGCUGGUAUAUUAGCUGGUCACUCUAAGAGGCUAUGUUUAAUUCUGAUCCACAGGUUGGGAUAGAAUCAAUAACUAAUAGUUAAUGAACUGCUUACUGGUUAAAUUAAAAACAAGUUUAAAACCAAAUGAAUUAUUUUCUUCCAUCUCCUUUCAAACAUUGUGCAUAGUUCUUUGGACUGAGUACAAACUCAUAGCAUGGCAUCAAAUUACAUGGGAGCAGAACAACCAACAUUGGAGCUUGGAAAUAUGGCCAUAUGGGUGAGGUACUGGAGAACGGUUGGCACUGAUGAAGGCAUAGAUCCCAAACAUGCCUCUUUUGAUAUGGAAAACAUUGCAGAGGGCUCGAAUAUUGCGAAUAUUGCAGCUUUUAAAAUUGUAUUGUGAAUAGAUAUAUCACUCUGCCUUGCAAUGGAGUAUUUGCCCAAUCUAAUCCAAUACUUCACAAACUGCCACUAUGACCCCUAGUGCUGUGAUGAAAUACGAUUUGGGGCUGACACCUCUCCAGAAGCAAUGUUUGUCAUGAAGCUCUGACUGGGUGUGAACAGUAGUGAGACCCCUUUUUAGGUCCUUGUGUUUUUUAUCGAAUGGUAAACGUGGCAUAAUUGACCAUGUUUUGAGUCCUGUCUCCUACUGCAAAGAGGCCAGUGGAAAGACAUAAAAUAAAUAUAAAAAUAUUAUUAUAAAAGAUAAAAAAUGCAGCCAUUCAAACAGCUCUCAUGCUCCUCUCUGCCUCCUUUGACCCUUCACCUUGCUUCCUCUGCCCCACUGUUCCAACCCUUCCCCAUGCUCUCAACUGUUUCCCCCACAAUCACACUCCCAC